UUUGCUUGAUUGGCAUACACACUAAAAAAUGAAAUGAUACCUAGAAGAUUAGCAUGGGACCUGUUCAAGAAUAUCACAUAAAUUUAUGAAGCAUUCUAUAUUGCU
ensembl:snRNA U6 U6 spliceosomal RNA